rnacentral:rRNA from 1 species
UACGGAGGGGGCAAGCGUUGUCCGGACUUACUGGGCGUAAAGGGUGCGUAGGCGGUUGCAUGCGUCCGCGCUGAAAUCCCGAGGCUCAACCUCGGGGCGCGUGCGGAUACGAUGCGACUUGAGGCUCGGAGAGGGUGGGAGAACUCCUGGUGUAGUGGUGAAAUGCGUAGAUAUCGAGAGGAACACCAGUGGCGAAGGCGAGUCCCUGGACACUUCCUGACACUGAGGCACGAAAGCUAGGGGAGCAAACAGG